rnacentral:rRNA from 1 species
UACGGGGGGAGCAAGCGUUGUUCGGAUUUACUGGGCGUAAAGGGCGCGUAGGCGGCCACCGCAAGUCGGUUGUGAAAUCUCUGGGCUUAACCCAGAAAGGUCAACCGAUACUGCGGGGCUAGAGUGCAGAAGGGGCAACUGGAAUUCUCGGUGUAGCGGUGAAAUGCGUAGAUAUCGAGAGGAACACCUGCGGCGAAGGCGGCACUCUGGGCCGGUACUGACGCUGAGGAGCGAAAGCGUGGGGAGCAAACAGG